rnacentral:rRNA from 1 species
CCUACGGGUGGCUGCAGUGAGGAAUAUUGGUCAAUGGGCGCGAGCCUGAACCAGCCAAGUAGCGUGAAGGAUGACUGCCCUACGGGUUGUAAACUUCUUUUAUCAAGGAGUAAAGUGAGGCACGUGUGCCUUUUUGUAUGUAAUUUAUGAAUAAGGAUCGGCUUAAUCCGUGCCAGCAGCCGCGGUAAAUAGGAGGAUCCGAGCGUUAUCCGGAUUUAUUGGGUUUUAAGGGAGCGUAGAUGGGUUGUUAAGUCAGUUGUGAAAGUUUGCGGCGCAACCGUAAAAUUGCAAUUGAUACUGGCAGUCUUGAGUGCAGUUGAGGUAGGCGGAAUUCGUGGUGUAGCGGUGAAAUGCUUAGAUAUCACGAAGAACUCCGAUUGCGAAGGCAGCUUACUAACCUGCCACUGACAUUGAUGCUCGAAAGUGUGGGUAUCAAACAGGAUUAGAUACCCCUGUAGUC